GGGUGGUUAUAUAGUCGGCGGAGCACACUAGUGGGCUUCAACGUCAGCGUACGGUGGCGAGCUAAAUCGUGAGUCCUGCUAGGCUUUUUUUGAUUCAGGUUUUGUUACUGUUUUCCAUUCGGGGUUAUAUGGCGAGCAAACCUAACAUUUGCAGUUGUUUGUUUCAGAAAUUCAUGUCCUGACAUCAAAUUUCGAUACGUAAGGUAAAUCCUGCCAACAAAGCUAUGUUAUGGGCUUACUAGUUCUCUUCAUAUCUCUAUCUUCCUUUUGUGAAGUUGUGUAGCGAUCUUCCUUUUACUAUAUGCAAUUCGAUUUUCUUAGGAAUACUCUCCAUUUUCUUAGGAACACGACGUCGUUGCGAUGCCUCCAGAUGCACCAGCAACAGAACAUGAAGAAUGUCAAUGGCAAGGUGAGCGACAUCUAGCAGAUUGCGGACAGAGGCCACGGAAGGUGACCGGAACCCCAACAUGGCCCUGAAAUCAACCACCAAUGGGCAGGCAGAGACGAGGUGUCUCGCUGACUGCAGCGAGGCAUGGCGGAAUGGGCUACUAUUACACGCUCUAAAAGUGAGGUUUAUAGCAAUUAAAAAGGUGAUUUUAUUCCUGAAUCGUGCUUAACAUUUCUUUAGCAAACAAGCACUAGCAGCCCGUUUUCAGAUGUGCUUCUUGUUGGUUCAUGUAGACAUGCCAAUGAAGCCCUGAUAAAGAGUAGAAAAAAUACAGUUUAUUUGUUUAAUUGUUCUCUUGUGUAGACCAAAAUUAGCGAGUAAAGGUAAUUUGAGUUUGCUUCCAAAUUCUUUCUGCGAGUUUAUCCCAGGAAUAAUGUUUUGUUCCUAUUUGAGUUGCAACAUGUGACUUCUGGAGGCUACUCUUCCAUUUGAUGUUGCUGUUCAACAGCUCUCAAAGGCACAGAGCAAAUCAGUCGGGCUUCUCGAAGAAAACAUAUUUUUGAUAAAUGAUGUGCCAUGCAUCCUUCCGCACACCUAAUCGCCUGCUUAGAACAAAUAAAAUUAGUUGCAUUUGCCUGUAUUGGUGGAGUGUGUAUAGAUGGCAGAAUAGCUCCAGCCUUGCUUUCUACUAACCAGUUUCAUUUUCUUUCAGAAUCAAGUUCCUGCUUUUUUCUCCCUGAUGUGAGUGUAUUGGAGUAUAGGGUUCUCCCUGGAGGGUCUUGUAAUCAGUGAGCUAUCUGAGGCAAUGUAUAGAGUUCCAGUUCUGUUUUUCUUGAGAGCCGACCCUGUAAGCUCUGUUUUCUUAGAGUUGAUAUGUAAAUUCUUCAAUGUUUAAAUAAAGUUCAGCCUCAGGCCCUUAAAGAUAACACUACUCCCCAAAUUAAA
rnacentral:lncRNA from 1 species